rnacentral:tRNA from 1 species
UAUGUUAAAGUGUAAAGAAGCACGUUGAGUUUUGAUCUCAAAAGUUUAGUUUAAUCCUAAGUAAUAUAA